UGGGGAAUAUUGGGCAAUGGGCGCAAGCCUGACCCAGCAACGCCGCGUGAAGGAAGAAGGCUUUCGGGUUGUAAACUUCUUUUCUCAGGGACGAAGCAAGUGACGGUACCUGAGGAAUAAGCCACGGCUAACUACGUGCCAGCAGCCGCGGUAAUACGUAGGUGGCAAGCGUUAUCCGGAUUUACUGGGUGUAAAGGGCGUGUAGGCGGGAAAGCAAGUCAGAUGUGAAAACCAUGGGCUCAACCUGUGGCCUGCAUUUGAAACUGUUUUCUUGAGUACUGGAGAGGCAGACGGAAUUCCUAGUGUAGCGGUGAAAUGCGUAGAUAUAUGGAAGAACACCAGUGGCGAAGGCGGCUGUCUGGUCUGCAACUGACGCUGAGGCUCGAAAGCAUGGGUAGCGAACAGGAUUAGAUACCC
rnacentral:rRNA from 1 species